GGCACUCAGAGAGCGCUGGCCAAGGGUGUCUAUGCCUCCGCACCCUAGUGUGCUGUACUCUGAGGGGUCAUGACUCCUGGGGGCUUCCCACCACUGCCCCUCCUCUGUCUCCAGUGUGGGCCACUGUACCAGCUGCAGAGCUGAAAUCAGAGGGGAAUAGGGAGGAGGUGGGAAGAGGGGGACCUGGAGCUACUUCCUGCCCUCCUGGGCCUCAGUCUUCUCCUCUGUAAUACAGAAAGAUUGUGCUACACUUCCAAGGCCAUUCUCAAUGCAGGUUCUGAAGGUUCCCUGGGCACCCCAAGCCACCCAUGAGCCCAACUGGCUUGCCAAGCACAUCUGGAGAGCUAGAGGGCUCUGUCAGCUGACUGCACAAAGCCCAAGUCAUCUGGGCUUCUCCUCCCGCGAGUCAGGGAGCAUCACAGGAGGCUGACACAGGUGAGCCUGUGAGGCCGGCUGACCAGGGCAGGGCACACCUCAUGGUCAGAAGUGAGUCAGCCGGGGCCUGGCUUCACUCAGCCAGGAAGCCCACGGGAUGGAGCUGGACCAGGCUGAGGACUAACCCAUCACAGGUGCCAAGAGAGGAACCUGAGUCACCCUUGCCCCCUCUCUCUCCCACUGACCCCACUCCUGCCAAUCAGGCAUCCACCCUUUCCUCUAUACCUCCUUGGCAUCCCUCGGGUCCAUCCUUCCUCCCCAUUCUGCGGCCCCCUACCUUAGAGACUGCAGUAGGCCCCUCCCUGCCCUCCAAUCCUAGCCCCAAAGUCCAGUCUCCUUCAUUCUUCCAGGUGGAACAUUUUCCCCCUCCUUUAUUCAGGCAUAAUUGACAUUCAAUACAAUGCAUGGAUCUUAAGAAUGAAGUUUAAAGAGUUUUGAUAAAUGCAUACUCCUGUGCGACCAAUACCCAGUCAUGUCAAGGCAUAGAAUACUUCAAUUACCUUGGAAAGUUUUCUCUACCCCUGCCUCCAGUCACCCAGCCUACACCCAAAAAACCCUCUGUGCUGACUUCUACCCCCCAGAAAUGAGCUUUGUGGGUUCUUAAGCUUCACAUAAAAUAGAAUUUUUUAGUAAUUAUACAUUAAUGCUCCUUUAUGUCUGGAUUCUUUCACCCACUGUGCUUUUCGUCUUCAUCCAUCUUUUGUGACUUUUAUUGUUGGAUAAGUUUCCAUUUUAUAAACAUGACUCAAUUUGUUUAUUCAUUCUCAUGUUGAUGGACAACUAGACUGUUUCCAGAUUUUUACUG
rnacentral:lncRNA from 1 species